GGUUUCGUGGUGUAGUGGUUACCACGUCUGCUUUACACGCAGAAGGUAGCGAGUUCGAGCAUCGCCGAAACCU
rnacentral:tRNA from 1 species